AGCUGAUAAUUGAUUUGAUUUAGACAUAUAAUUUCAUACUCAUUCGGACACUUUACAAACCUGAUUCACUGUAUUCGUGGAUAUUAUCAUAAACACGUUAUCUUUUAUAUUUGUAUAUAAAGAUGAUCAGAAAACAUAAUUACAUAAUGGUACGGUCUUAAGUUUCCUCUCUCUCUAUAUCUCGUACUCGUCAAAGAGUUGAACAGAGAGAGAGAGAGAGAUAAAGAAAAUGGAGGAGACGCGGAAGAAAGAAGACGAGAGGGGGAGAGAUACGGCGGAGGCGAAAGAAAUGACGACGCAGAUGUCAGUCCCCGGAGGGGACGAUAACGACGACGAGUAUACUCCUGAAGAAAUCAUGCAGCUCGUCGAGUCCUCUUCUUCUCAGACGAUGAACGUCGACGAGGAGAGUUUCAGAGUGAGGUUUAUCGACGAUCCGUACGCAGUUCCGGUCGUUGUUCAGUCAUCAACGUCAACGAGGAAAGCUGUGGUCCGUCGUUUUCCGACAGCAACGCUUCCGCCAUGGCGAGCGUCGACGCGAGCGAUCUUUUCGGUUGCUGCCUCGGUUCGAACGGCGCGUGGAGUACUGGCGAGGUGAGAGCGAGUGAGAGUGAGUGCGAGUGGGACGACGAGUUGCUGGCGAGGUUUCUUGGCGAAGACAGUGUUUGACCAAUGUGUCGGCUUGCGGAGAAACGCUUUUAAGGGUAUUUUGGUCAAUUCAAAGAACUGUCAUUAAGUGAAAAUUGAUUUACAUGUUGUUAAUUGGUAGGCAGCAAGAAAGUGGUAAAUCAGUUAAUGGUAGUAGUAAGAGUAAGACUAGUCUAGUUAGCAUCUACGUAGUUUAAUGUGACCAUUUUGGUAAAUUAUGUCACAUGGUGGUACUAAUGAGUAAUACCUUUAGGUCUAGGGAGCUAUUUUGUAAAGUUCAAAAGUAUUUAAUUGGAAAAAAUAAAUUGCCGGUA